rnacentral:rRNA from 1 species
UCGAGCGCACCUUCGGGUGAGCGGCGGACGGGUGAGUAACGCGUGGGAACGUACCCAGAUCUGCGGAAUAGCCACUGGAAACGGUGAGUAAUACCGCAUACGCCCUUCGGGGGAAAGAUUUAUCGGAUUUGGAUCGGCCCGCGUUAGAUUAGAUAGUUGGUGGGGUAAUGGCCUACCAAGUCUACGAUCUAUAGCUGGUUUUAGAGGAUGAUCAGCCACACUGGGACUGAGACACGGCCCAGACUCCUACGGGAGGCAGCAGUGGGGAAUCUUAGACAAUGGGCGCAAGCCUGAUCUAGCCAUGCCGCGUGAGUGAUGAAGGCCUUAGGGUCGUAAAGCUCUUUCGCCAGGGAUGAUAAUGACAGUACCUGGUAAAGAAACCCCGGCUAACUCCGUGCCAGCAGCCGCGGUAAUACGGAGGGGGUUAGCGUUGUUCGGAAUUACUGGGCGUAAAGCGCGCGUAGGCGGACUAUUAAGUCAGGGGUGAAAUCCCGGGGCUCAACCCCGGAACUGCCCUUGAUACUGGUAGUCUUGAGUUCGAGAGAGGUGAGUGGAACUCCGAGUGUAGAGGUGAAAUUCGUAGAUAUUCGGAAGAACACCAGUGGCGAAGGCGGCUCACUGGCUCGAUACUGACGCUGAGGUGCGAAAGUGUGGGGAGCAAACAGGAUUAGAUACCCUGGUAGUCCACACCGUAAACGAUGAAUGCCAGUCGUCGGGUAGCAUGCUAUUCGGUGACACACCUAACGGAUUAAGCAUUCCGCCUGGGGAGUACGGUCGCAAGAUUAAAACUCAAAGGAAUU